ensembl:lncRNA
AGUUAGGGAUCAGUCUCCACCUUAAGAAAAGACAGAAAAAAAGCAGAGCCUGCAGACCCUGCAGAGAGCAGCAUGUGCUGUGUUGCAGAGCGCUCUUUGUUUUGAUAAGAGCCCAUGGAAACACUGGAAUAAAACCAUUAGGAGGCUGUGACUGCUUCCUGCCUCGCUGUCUGUUGCAGGUGUAAUGAAAGCAGAGUGGUCCUUUGGGCAUCUUUUGGCUCCUGGGUGUACCGUGCAGGCUGUGAUACCCAUUAACUUGAUAAAAAAUGAAGAAGUGCCUCAGCAACUCUUGAAUGCAACUGUAUGAGCAACACGACUACUGCAUGCUCAGCGCAGGCAGAAGAAGACUUCUGCUUCACAAUAGUUAAACAAGUCAAGGACGUAAUUCACAUCCUUUUAAGGUUGGAAGUGAAAAACAGACUACAGAAUGACAGGAGAAAGGAAAAUGCUGGUUUUCAUGGCUUCAUCACUGUUGAACAGAGCAGCCUUAGGUUGGGUCAUUUCUUUGUGCCGGAGGACUUUUCAAAGGAUGCUGAAGCUUUCAUACUACACGGCUUACAGUGCAGAUGGAACAGGACGUGUCGUUAUGUUUACUGUGUGUGGCUGUCAGUGCUUAGCAGUAAGGUGUGCUUGGUUAUUAGCAAUGUCUGGUUCCUGUAUCACGAACCCUACGCCUGCAGCUUUUCUCCUGCCUUUGCCUCUCAGCUGUGAAUUACUGCACUGGUGUGUCUGUGCUCAGGACUACCCAGAAGGAAGCACACAAGGCCCAUUUCUGGACUUCAUGAGCUACAAUGUUCGGUGCUGCACAGGUGAGCAUGGUGUGGACAGCAGCACAUGGAUGGGCAGGUCAGGGAAGUACCACAGGGAAGAGCACAGCAAUGCCUUCGAUUCCCCCAGGCUCUUCUCAUAACAUCCUAUGCAAAAUGUCUGCAACAUGGGGAUGUUGAGCAUAGCAAAAGCACAAGCACUAGCACUGCCAGUGGAAACACUUAUCUGGAAAGAAUGUUCUUCAUUGCACCAUUGGGGAAAUUAAAUCAAAUUAAGCCGUUUCAUUUGUUGGGGUAGGAGAUUAUUCCUCAUUGUGCCAGCAAAUUCUUUACUUGCCUCCAUAAGGAAUUCAUCCAAAGUCUGAAUUUUGAAUGGCUCCAAAAUAAAACUAAUUUA